GCAGGUAUAGCUCAGUGGUAGAGUGCUUGCUUAGCAUGCAUAGGGUCCUAGGUUCAAUCCCCAGUACCUCUG
rnacentral:tRNA from 1 species